GGUGGUGGCGGCGCUGGUGGU
rnacentral:siRNA from 1 species